CUCGUGAGCCCAUGUCCCACCAUGAACCCUAGCCGCCACCGCCUCCUCCUCCUGCCACCUCAGUCGCCUCUCCCCUCCCCCUCCCUCCCCGCAUCUCGUCCUCCCCGGGUGCGGAGGCGAGCUUCCCGACGACGGUGGGGGUGCUGGAUUCCCUAGCCGCCGCCACCCACCCUCGCACCCUCCCUUCCCCUCGCCUCUGCACCCCCCUGAGCACUACCGAGCCGCUGGGAUCUGCCUCCCCUGCGGCGAUUUGAGGCCACCGACGAGAAGGGGUUUAUUUUUCUGGUUGGUUGGGCGAGCGGGUGGUAUGUGGAUCUCGCACCCACUGUCCGACGAGUUCUACGGAGGGCCCCGCAGAGCUGGGGUGGGUAGCACGCUGCUGCUGUCGCUGGAGCGGACGCCCCCGUCCUCGCCACCGCCGCCCGCGUCCUGCUCCUUGCCUGAGGACGGCGAUGACUUCCUCCAGCACGAGGUGUCCCGCAUGGACACACUCGCCAGCAUCGCCAUCUAGUACGGCGUCGAUAUCGGGACCAGGGCGACGUCUUCACGACUUACAUUUAAGAGUAGGGAAGGGCCACGGUGAGAGGAAGGAGUAACGAGGUCAAAUCUGAGAUGGGGUCAUCGGCGUGUUCAAGAAGCCGCGGGGACAGCGGCCCAUCGCGGUGGGGUGGACCUGUAGCGAAGAUGGAGGAGGCCAGCAAGAGUGGAUGAAAAACUGCUAAUAUGGUACUCCAAAGAGAGGGAAUAAAGUCUGAGCUUGAGUUCUGUGUCGAGUGUGGUUCUUGGACAGCAAACGACAAACCUUCUGUGCUUGCAUUGGCCAGAAAAGGAACAUCACGCCUUGUCGGUCAUAUAAAUGAAUGAUCUGCAAAUACAAGGACCAACCCGAUUGCUGGUAUCUAGGGCCUAACAGCCUUGGUAUCUGCUCUAUAUAGUCCUCUUCUUUUGGUUGAUUCAACAAGCAGCCGUCGAAUAAACAGUUGAGCAAAUAGCCCUCCUGGCUAUAUUCAGCAAAGGAAUAGGCUAUUUUCAGUGCAUGACACAAGAAAGUUCACCCAAGUUAGGUUUGAAACCCAUGCAUGUCGUGAUUUCUAUGUGAGAACAUGAUUAGAUUGUUCAAGUAUGAGUUUACCAUGACUUGUGACCUUUCCUAGAUUACGCUAAGUAAACCUUUUGGUUUUCUGUUAAUCCGUGCCCCCCCACUACUCAGCUCAGGACAUUGCGAAAUUAAUAACCAACGUGUCAAGCAGUACAAUUCUGGCCAUGUCAAUAAAUUAUCCUUUCCAAAUAUAAAAAAUAAUAAUACAAUCAUUAGGUAACACCCAAACUAAUGUAAUGACAAGUGGGUAUGUAUUUCAUGUAUCUCACUCAUUGUCGUGCCUAGUUCAAUUUCACAUAUUUAAAUAUGUGUGAUCUGGUCACCUUAGGUAGAGUUACAUGCAUUCUGUUACACACACUUUUUUCGGUCUAUUUCGCCCUAUAGGAUGCAUUUAUUUUUCUCAGUUGUUCUCCUUUUGUUCUUGUGCCAUUGUCGUAAUUGGGAUCAUAACACUCACUCUUUUUUGUGUGUAAUCUAUGGUCACCCAGGAAAUAGCAAAGGAUUGAAUAUACCAAGCACGGACUAGUGGGACUACAGUUUGGCAAGCAGCGCUUCUGAGUAUGACGAACAAUCACAUGACGUCUGCAUCUUGUUCAAGCAUGGAUGCAAGACAUUUCUCCUGAAAAUAAGACUUGAGGUUGCUUGAUGUCCUCUCAUCGUGUAUAUUGGUGCAAUAUCUCCUAUCCUCUCUCGGAGAGAUGAGAUAAGGAUUACAGGGCUACCAACGGCCCGCCUAUAAUGGAAGACGUCCCGAGUCAUUGUUGCAUGCUAGAGAACAAAAACUAUCAUGUUGGUGAUUUCCCUGAUAUUUGGUUCUACAAGUGUGUCAUAUGAACCAAUGAAAGCAAUGAUAUUCGGGAGAUAAUAACUAUAUGGGCUACUCCAAAUGGUCUGACAGUGGAACCAACACCUUUUAUAGGCCUUCAAGUACCUAUGAAAAUCUACCAUGCAAGCAUUAUCCGACGAUGACACUAUGCUUUUCGUACAUACCCUCUGAAGACCACGAUCAGAGUAAGAAGAUGCCUAAAUAAGCUGUGAGGCAGCCUAUAUAUAAGUGUAUUUUUGUAAAAUGGUCUAAGUCAUUCUACUAUUUGUAAACCAAUUUAAGUCAUUCUACUAUCUGCAAUACAAUCCACAUUGUAUUA